GAAGGAUGGUGAUAAGUAUGCACACACUUUGAUUUGCCUAAUGUACCAGAAUUCAGGGCGUGUUAUUAAUGGCGGACCUUAAAGGAAGCCUGCUCCCUCCAAAACCGGCAUCAGCUAUAAACCUUAGAGAUUCAUCUUAUCGGCUAUCUGUCUCUGGACGCCAACCUUUCCAAGGCGUUGAUAUAUGUUCUAGGUUUGAAAAAGCGUGGCCAAGACCUUCGGUCAUGGAUUCGUGUUGAUUCGUCGGGAAAUUCCAUUCCCAAAUUAUUCGUGUUGAUCUACCUGCUCGUGAUUUACGCCUGCUUGAUCCUCUUCUUGUUUACCCCUCAACAAUCCUUGGUAGAGAGAAGGCUAUGGUUGUAAACUUAGAGCAGAUUCGGUGUAUUAUUACAGCUGACGAGGUUCUGCUCCCAGAUUCCCUUGACAGCCACGUGUUGCAGUAUGUGGUGGAGCUACAAGGACGAUUGAUGACGCCAGGGCUAGGUGAUGUAUGACAGUCAGAAGGUGCUGAAUUGAAUCGAAGGAGAAGUAGGAAUUUCGACAACGUAUUUGGGAAUAUACAUCCCCUGGUUUAGGGCUCUUGAAGUUGCAAUGGAAGCUGCCUGCACCUUCCUUGAUUCUCAGCAUGCAGGUGGAACAGUGACUCGUGAGCUCGAAGCUUCUCAGUACGUGCGUGUUUGAUGGUGAUGGGAGGAGUGCGUGUGGGUGAGAGGAGAGGGGUGUGGAUUCAGCUGAUAUGGACGACGGAGGAAUAUUCCUCCAUUAAAGAACAUAGAAAGUAUACACCAUGGCCAAAAAGCUAGCAAUCCACUAGCCUAUUCCUUCUCUCUGUUAUGCUCUUAAAAGUUUCCAAGUGCAUGACAGCUAUUCUCGGCAGAUGAGAGUGGAGGUACAAUUAUUUGGAAUUUCACAGAAGAAAGUGGCUUGUAAACAUGGAGGUCUUAGGAGACUUGCUGGUUAAACAAUGACAUUUAUUGGAGAAAUUCUUAUGUUAUUUUAUGAAUAAGAUAUCAAUAUUUAUUUUCA